rnacentral:rRNA from 1 species
UGCAAGCCGAGCGGUAUUGUUUCUUCGGAAAUGAGAGAGCGGCGUACGGGUGCGGAACACGUGUGCAACCUGCCUUUAUCUGGGGGAUAGCCUUUCGAAAGGAAGAUUAAUACUCCAUAAUAUAUUGAAUGGCAUCGUUUAAUAUUGAAAGCUCCGGCGGAUAGAGAUGGGCACGCGCAAGAUUAGCUAGUUGGUGAGGUAACGGCUCACCAAGGCGAUGAUCUUUAGGGGGCCUGAGAGGGUGAUCCCCCACACUGGUACUGAGACACGGACCAGACUCCUACGGGAGGCAGCAGUGAGGAAUAUUGGUCAAUGGGUGCAAGCCUGAACCAGCCAUCCCGCGUGAAGGACGACUGCCCUAUGGGUUGUAAACUUCUUUUGUAUAGGGAUAAACCUACCCUCGUGAGGGUAGCUGAAGGUACUAUAC